rnacentral:rRNA from 1 species
CGAUAGCGUAUAUUUAAGUUGCUGCAGUUAAAAAGCUCGUAGUUGGAUUUCGGGUGGGAAUGGCCGGUCCGCCGUUUCGGUGUGCACUUGCUACGCCCACCUUGCUGCCGGGGACGUGCUCUUGAGUUCACGCUCGGGACACGGAGUCGGCGAGGUUACUUUGAGUAAAUUAGAGUGUUCAAAGCAGGCCUACGCUCUGAAUACAUUAGCAUGGAAUAACACGAUAGGACUCUGGCCUAUCUUGUUGGUCUGUAGGACCGGAGUAAUGAUUAAGAGGGACAGUCGGGGGCAUUCGUAUUUCAUUGUCAGAGGUGAAAUUCUUGGAUUUAUGAAAGACGAACUUCUGCGAAAGCAUUUGCCAAGGAUGUUUUCAUUGA